UUGAUUGAAGCCAAAAUUAGAGGCUCAUCACUGUUAAUGAUGUAAUUGAAAACUUAUUUCCAAUCAAG
rnacentral:tRNA from 1 species